rnacentral:rRNA from 1 species
GACAGAGGAGGCGAGCGUUAUCCGGAGUUACUGGGCGUAAAGCGCACGUAGGCGGCUUCGUAAGUCUGGUGUGAAAUCUCACGGCUCAACCGAGAGGCUGCACCAGAUAGUGCGAAGCUCGAGGACGGGAGAGGAGAUUGGAAUUCCCGGUGUAGCGGUGAAAUGCAUUGAUAUCGGGAGGAACACCAGUGGCGAAGGCGGAUCUCUGGCCCGUUGAUGACGCUGAGCUGUGAAAGCUGCGGGAGCGAAAGGG